rnacentral:rRNA from 1 species
GGGGGUGGCGCGUGCUAAUACAUGCAAGUCGAGCGGACUUGAUGAGAAGCUUGCUUCUCUGACGGUUAGCGGCGGACGGGUGAGUAACACGUAGGCAACCUGCCUGUAAGAUCGGGAUAACUACCGGAAACGGUAGCUAAGACCGGAUAAUCGGUUUCUCCGCAUGGAGGGAUCGUGAAACACGGAGCAAUCUGUGGCUUACGGAUGGGCCUGCGGCGCAUUAGCUAGUUGGUGAGGUAACGGCUCACCAAGGCGACGAUGCGUAGCCGACCUGAGAGGGUGAACGGCCACACUGGGACUGAGACACGGCCCAGACUCCUACGGGAGGCAGCAGUAGGGAAUCUUCCGCAAUGGACGCAAGUCUGACGGAGCAACGCCGCGUGAGUGAUGAAGGUUUUCGGAUCGUAAAGCUCUGUUGCCAGGGAAGAACGCCAAGGAGAGUAACUGCUCUUUGGGUGACGGUACCUGAGAAGAAAGCCCCGGCUAACUACGUGCCAGCAGCCGCGGUAAUACGUAGGGGGCAAGCGUUGUCCGGAAUUAUUGGGCGUAAAGCGCGCGCAGGCGGUUUUUUAAGUCUGGUGUUUAAUCCCGAGGCUCAACCUCGGUUCGCACCGGAAACUGGGAGACUGGAGUGCAGGAGAGGAAAGUGGAAUUCCACGUGUAGCGGUGAAAUGCGUAGAGAUGUGGAGGAACACCAGUGGCGAAAGGCGACUUUCUGGGCCUGUAACUGACGCUGAGCGCGAAAGCGUGGGGAGCAAACAGGAUUAGAUACCCUGGUAGUCCAACGCCGUAAACGAUGCAUGCUAAGUGUUAGGGUUUCGAUACCCUUGGUGCCGAAGUUAACACAAGUAAGCAUGCCGCCUGGGGAGUACGCUCGCAGAAGUGAAACUCAAGGAAUUGACCGGACCCGCACAAGCAUGGGAGAUAUGUGGGUUAAUUCGAAGCAACCGCGAGAACUUACAGGCCUUGACAUCCUCUGGACCGGCUAAGAAAGGCUUUCUUCAGACAAGUGACAGUGGUGCCAUGUGUGCUCAGCUCUGUCCUGGAAGUGUAAUCGACAGGCUACUUGACUACUGCCAGUGAGCUGGCACUAAUGAUCGCGGUGCAAUCG